rnacentral:rRNA from 1 species
UACGGAGGGGACUAGCGUUGUUCGGAUUUACUGGGCGUAAAGCGCACGUAGGCGGAUUGUUAAGUCGGGGGUGAAAUCCUGGAGCUCAACUUCAGAAUUGCCUUCGAUACUGGCUUUCUAGAGGCUGGAAGAGGUUAGUGGAAUUCCCAGUGUAGAGGUGAAAUUCGUAGAUAUUGGGAAGAACACCAGUGGCGAAGGCGGCUAACUGGUCCAGAUCUGACGCUGAGGUGCGAAAGCGUGGGGAGCAAACAGG